CCUACGGGCGGCAGCAGUCGAGAAUCAUUCACAAUGGGGGAAACCCUGGUGGUGCGACGCCGCGUGGGGGAAUGAAGGUCUUCGGAUUGUAAACCCCUGUCAUGUGGGAGCAAAUUAAAAAGAUAGUACCACAAGAGGAAGAGACUGCUAACUCUGUGCCAGCAGCCGCGGUAAUACAGAGGUCUCAAGCGUUGUUCGGAAUCACUGGGCGUAAAGCGUGCGUAGGCUGUUUCGUAAGUCGUGUGUGAAAGGCGCGGGCUCAACCCGCGGACGGCACAUGAUACUGCGAGACUAGAGUAAUGGAGGGGGAACCGGAAUUCUCGGUGUAGCAGUGAAAUGCGUAGAUAUCGAGAGGAACACUCGUGGCGAAGGCGGGUUCCUGGACAUUAACUGACGCUGAGGCACGAAGGCCAGGGGAGCGAAAGGGAUUAGAUACCCCAGUAGUC
rnacentral:rRNA from 1 species